rnacentral:rRNA from 1 species
UACGGAGGGUGCAAGCGUUAAUCGGAAUUACUGGGCGUAAAGCGUGCGCAGGCGGUUAUGCAAGACAGAGGUGAAAUCCCCGGGCUCAACCUGGGAACUGCCUUUGUGACUGCAUAGCUAGAGUACGGUAGAGGGGGAUGGAAUUCCGCGUGUAGCAGUGAAAUGCGUAGAUAUGCGGAGGAACACCGAUGGCGAAGGCAAUCCCCUGGACCUGUACUGACGCUCAUGCACGAAAGCGUGGGGAGCAAACAG